GAGGGGUCACACCUGUUCCCAUUCCGAACACAGAAGUUAAGCCCUCCAUCGUCGAUGGUACUGCUCCUGAGAGGGAGUGGGAGAGUAGAACGCUGCCGGAU
rnacentral:rRNA from 1 species